CCGGAUUUUGUGCCCACAAUAUUUCCUCACCGUACUGUGGCAGACCCAAACCAGAAAUUGAAUAGGUAUAAACACGCCAGGAAACGUGAGCAGACGUCACCCCUUCUCAAACGCAAGGUGGCAAAAACGACUGCUGUGAGCCCAGAUCUACCUACAAUUCUCGAUGGAGACCAUUGCCCAGCUGACAACGAUGAUGCUGACGAUGUCCCUGAUGAAAUGCGUGAGUCAAGGAACUGCCUGUCAUCUUUUUCUUUGGAGGAAAAUGAUGGAAAGUGCCGACAGAUGACUGGACUCAGCUGGAUGAUGUUUUUGAGCCUAUUUACAUUUCUUAACCAGUUUGUGAAGAGGCGAGGCUGCAUCUCCCUUCCACCGCGGGACCAGCUGUUUAUUACACUGAUAAAACUACGUCAAAACCCAUCCUUUUUGUUCUUAAGUCACGUUCUGAAAAUGCCUCAAACAACUGUCAGGCAAAUUUUUAUCCGAUGGCUUGACCUGAUGUAUGGGAAAAUUUCCUUUUUAGUUCACUGGCCUGAUAGGGAAUGUUUUUCACUGAUACCUCCACAAAUGAAGGCCCAGUUCCCACGACUCACAGCAAUCAUAGAUUGUUUUGAAAUCAGGACAGAGUACCCUAGCAACCUUAAAGCUAGAGCAAAAUCAUACUCUAACUAAAAGAAAUGGACAACAGUGAAAUAUCUAAUAGCAUGCAGUCCAUCUGGCAGCAUUAGAUUUUUGUCAAAUGGAUGGGGAGGAAGGGCCUCUGAUGUGCAUAUUGUUCGACAGUCAGGAUUCCUGUCCUCAGUGUACCAUUCUCCAGGUGAUCAGAUAUUAGCUGACAGGGGGUUUACACUCCAGGAUGACUUUGCCCUCCUCGGUGUCGAGCUGCUAACACCGUCAUUCACAAAAGGAAGGAAGCAGUUACCUGGGAGAGAGGUGGAAAUGUCUCGUAGGAAGUCAAACAUCCGGAUUCACAUUGGUAAGUAAAACUAGAUUA